UUAUCGUUAUAUAUAUACUUACUUAAACUAUUCAGCUAUGACGGUACUAUUAACAAAGUAUACUGUUUGUCCACAAUCUAUGUACAACUUUAUUCAGCUUCGAAGAUACUAGUAACAUAGUAUACAUAGUGUCCACUAGCUAUUUAUAACUUUAUUUAGCUUUGACGGUACAAAUAAUAAUAUAUACUGAAUGUCCACUGUCUAUUUAUAACUUUAUUUCAGCUUCACGGUCAGCUAUGACCGUCACGGUACUAGUAACAUUUUAUAACUUUAUUUAGCUUUGAUGGUUCUAAUAACAAUGCAUACUAAAUGUCCACUGUCGUUCAGUUUCACGGAAAGCUAUGACAGUACCAGGAACAAAGUGUUCUGGUUGUCCACUAUCUAUUUCGAUAACUUCUUUUUCAGCUUUACGGUCAGCUGUGACGAUACUUGUAACAAAGGAUACACGGUAUCAGCUAUCUGUCUAAGAGUAUAACUUCUUUUUCAGCUUUACGGUCAGCUGUGACGGUACUUGUAACAAAGGAACAGUGUGGACGAUCAAUUGAUCUUACUUUGGAGAGAAAAGUCUAUCUGAACUAUGAAGGGGCAGAGCUUUGGGACAAUUCCUCGACUUGUGUGAUAGAUAUAACAACUAGAAAUGACAAUGAGAAAAUUUGCAUAAGAAAAAACAAUACGCCACUAAAUUUCAUUGAUUUGAUGUGCUCGUGGACGCUUAGUUAUUACGCUGGAGGUAACGAAGAAUACUCAUAUGGCGCAAAGAGUUGUUCGGAUUUCAACUUACGGGCGUUUUGUGACAGUGAUAGAAAGUCGUGACAACUACCUUUACGAUACUCGUAAUGUCACUGUUAGUGUUGUGGUUAUUUAAAAAGAAAUAUAUAGACUACUACCCGGCGUAGUUAUACACGAGCACCCUGGUCUUCGUGGACAUCCUGGUCGUCGGACUAUGGCAAAUACGACGUCCAAGAAGCAAAGUCUAAAACAAAAGACAUUGUUAUUUUCUUAUUAGUUAUACCGGCAAGCGUGUUGUUUGGUUGUGUUUGUUAUAUGCUGCGUGAGCGCAUGUGUCCAACACGAGAAUAUA